GUAGCUCAGUGGUAGAGUACUUGCCUUGCAUGCAUGAAGCCCUGGGUUUGAUUCCUGAGC
rnacentral:tRNA from 1 species